rnacentral:tRNA from 1 species
GCGGUUGUGGCGUAAUUGGUAGCCGCGUCAGACUUAGGAUCUGAUGCCUCAGGGCGUGGGGGUUCGAGUCCCUUCAGCCGCACAA